rnacentral:rRNA from 1 species
GAUGAACGCUGGCGGCGUGCCUAAUACAUGCAAGUCGAGCGAACAGACGAGGAGCUUGCUCCUCUGACGUUAGCGGCGGACGGGUGAGUAACACGUGGAUAACCUACCUAUAAGACUGGGAUAACUUCGGGAAACCGGAGCUAAUACCGGAUAAUAUAUUGAACCGCAUGGUUCAAUAGUGAAAGACGGUUUUGCUGUCACUUAUAGAUGGAUCCGCGCCGCAUUAGCUAGUUGGUAAGGUAACGGCUUACCAAGGCAACGAUGCGUAGCCGACCUGAGAGGGUGAUCGGCCACACUGGAACUGAGACACGGUCCAGACUCCUACGGGAGGCAGCAGUAGGGAAUCUUCCGCAAUGGGCGAAAGUUUGACGGAGCAACGCCGCGUGAGUGAUGAAGGUCUUCGGAUCGUAAAACUCUGUUAUUAGGGAAGAACAAAUGUGUAAGUAACUAUGCACGUCUUGACGGUACCUAAUCAGAAAGCCACGGCUAACUACGUG